ACUGUUCCCCUUUCAUCAGCACAGGGACUCAGAAGACCCCUCCGUCUGCCCUGCUCCUGCCAUGAGUGGUGGCCUCCUGUGCUGGGUGGCUUUUUGCCUGUUGCAGGCAGGAGCAGUGAAUGCUGGUGUCACUCAGACCCCAAAAUUCCGCGUCCUGGAGACAGGACAGAACACAACGCUGAGAUGUGCCCAGGAUAUGAACCACGACUCUAUGUACUGGUAUCGACAAGACCUGGGACAUGGGCUGAGGCUGAUCCGCUACUCAGCUGGUGCUGGUGUCACUGAAAAGAGAGAUGUUCCCGAUGGGUACAGUGUCUCCAGAUCAAAUACAGAGAACUUCCCCCUCACACUGGAGUCUGCUACGCCCUCCCAGACAUCUGUGUACUUCUGUGCCAGCAGUUAG